UACGUAGGGUGCGAGCGUUAAUCGGAAUUACUGGGCGUAAAGCGUGCGCAGGCGGUGAUGUAAGACAGAUGUGAAAUCCCCGGGCUCAACCUGGGAACUGCAUUUGUGACUGCAUCGCUGGAGUGCGGCAGAGGGGGAUGGAAUUCCGCGUGUAGCAGUGAAAUGCGUAGAGAUGUGGAGGAACACCGAUGGCGAAGGCAGCCCCCUGGGCCAAUACUGACGCUCAUGCACGAAAGCGUGGGGAGCAAACAGG
rnacentral:rRNA from 1 species